CUCUUAAUUUCAGUAAAUUGUGAAAAAAAGGGAUCUGUAUCUGAUGGAGGAGAUGCCCACAGCUCCAGGCUAAUGUCUUACUUUACGCUUUCCAGUUCUUUCUGAUCUUAAAGAUAUAAUGAAAUAUUCCUAAGAAAUGAUAUUUAAAAGUGGUCAGAUUCCAGCCGUGUAUUCAUUUCCAGAAGGCUAGCUGUCAACAUGCAUGCAAGCUGUACAGCACUUGAAAUUUUACCUUCCCACCCCUAUUCCACAGCUCGGGCAUAUUCAGCCUAGGGAAAAGCUAAAGCUAAAAUCCUCUUAUGGGACAAAUAGCAAUUUAAAGUCAUGGAUAAGCAGAAGAGCCUAUGUGUUGAGAUGUAACAGUUCAGCCCGUCUCCCUAGUUCCUAAUUGCUUCAUAAUCCCUAAUUAGAACUCCCUAAUUCUUAAUUAGGACUCCCAGAUCAGAGUCCUGCCACAGUCGUCACUGGUACUCAGAAGGCCCCAGCUAAAGGAAGCAGUGCCAGCUUUUAGCUGAACACAUUUUUACAGUUCUGGCCAAAUUCUAGAUGCCUGCAGUGAGGCUGGUUGUCCAGCUCCCUUGAAAGCCAUCUCAUCCCACUGCAGACAUCUAAAGGAGGCUGUGGGACUUUGGCUGCCCGAAAUGCCCAUCUCUCUUAACUGGCUGCAGGGGAAACAGGCAGCACUGAGCUUGGCUACAGAUGUGUGCAGUCCAGAGCUAGGUGGGAUGCAUCCUGCCCACAGCAUCUGCAUGUAGAGCUCGUUUGCGCCAUGCCGUCAUUAACAGCGAGGCAGAAGGUGGACAGGUUCUCAAGGACACCGAGCUGGAAUGGUUGUUAGGGCUCCUGAGGACAAGACUUACAAUUUAAAGUGAUCUGGAUACUCUGGAAAAAGACAUCCAAAAUCUGUGAGAUGGCACCUGAUAAAGUCAAGCACUACGUCCAGGAGAGAAAACUUAAAUGUAAGUAAAAAAAAAAAAAGAAAAAGAGAGAAAAAUGUCUGAUAGGGAGCAGCACUGCCAAAAAACAUCUGGGCUUGCAAUGCACCACAAACUAAAUCAGAGCCCAUGAAUUGGUAUGGAGAGCAUCCUUCAUUCUGAGGUGCAUUUACAGGAAUCCCCACACGUUAAACAGAGGGGGUAACUAUCCUGUGCCGCUCGUUCCUCAGGUCUCAGCUGAGUCUUGUGUUCUGUCAUUUCUUUUUUUUAAGGGGAAAAAAACAAGUUACUUUGGCCAGAGGCCAAAGGAGGGAGGCAAAAGAGCAAACGAGCUCCAGAAAAACGUGACCUAUGAGGUCAGGCUGAAAGAAUUGGGUUUUUGAGAUCUCUGGGGCAAAGGGAGAUGGAGUGAGGUUGUAACAGGAACCUUCAAAUACUUCAAAGCUUCUCAUGGGUAGGACAGCGAUCAAUCUACCUUUGUGAUCCCGGGGCGUAGGACAGGCUGUAAUCUGUUUUGUUUGCCAUGGGGGAGAUUUAGAUUGGAUAGGGGGGGAAAUAUUUUGUCUGUGAGAGCAAUAAAAUGCUGAAAUAAUCUCCCUGGGAAGCUCUGGAAUUUCCUUCAGUAAGGACAAGUCCGACGUCUGCUGGGGUGCCCUGAGCCUGUCUGAAAGAGGAGGGGGCUGCUGCCUCCACCAACAUGUCUCAGGGGUGGGUCACAGCCCCCGGGGAGGAGGUGGAAGGCCCAAGGGAAGCAAUGAAGGGUUAGAAAAUGCAUUAUUUCAAAAUCUGUAUUGAUGAUAAGGAGGAACUGAUGCUUAGGGAAGGAAAGAGCCUCAUACAGUUUAACAAAUUAUGCAAGUCAAAGUAUUUCUCUUUCCUUUCUUAAAUAUUUGAUCUUUAAUGCUGCUUGCAAAUCCAGCCUUCGGAUGGUUAUAAAGAGACAGAUGAGCCAAAAAAACAGAUCGCACUUUCAAAAAGGCAGAGAAAUAGCAGACUAGAUGAUCUUUUCUUCCCUUCCAGCCCUAUGCUUCUAGGAUUUCUGCGGCGCAGUUAAUACAGAAGGAUCCUGAUUAAUGAAAUCUUCUCGUGUCUCGGAUGCUGAGCUUCCUCCCACAGACAGCUGAAACACCCACAGCCCUUUGCCAGGUGCUGGUAGCCUAAGCAGCAAUUGAGCUGAAGUAAAUACACCGGUAUCAAAGUGAAUUAAAAUAGGUCUGAGGCUCAGAACAUGUCAGCAACUUCAUGGUGAAAGGAAAUCGCAGAGUGGUUUAGGUUGGAGGGGGCCUCUGGAGGUCACCUGGUCCAACCCAAUAAUGGGAAGUGUUUCAGAUGCCCCUGAAAUAAUCAACGAGCAGCCAGAAAAUUCAGAGUUAUGGGUAAAUAUAGAGAAACCGAAACCUUGUUAGAUUCCAACAUUUAUCAGAAAGGCCUCCAAAUGUCCUGACCCCUGCCCUGUGCUGAGGUGGCUCACACUGGAGAUGUAUUUCAGACAAACAGGAUCAGCAUUCAAGAACUGCUUGCUCCCCGCCAUAGUGUGGGCUGUGCUUCUCUGUCUGAAGCUUAAAUACCAACACACAGGUCUAACAGUUGGAAACUUUAAGGUUGCCUACUCAUUUCUCCCACAAGAUAACCCUCUCACAGUGUCAGGAAAAUCGUUAGGAAAUUGCUUUAAUAGUCGACUUACCUGUAAAAGUCAUGGACAAUGGUAAGGCAAGGAAAGCAAGGAGCCCAAAUAUAAAGCAUGCUGUGAAAAAAAAAAUGAAAAAAGAAGGGAGUGUUAUUGGGGCUGGUUGAAGUUUAAAGAUCACAAGUCCUAUCCAGUGCUUUAUGGAUGCUGUUUAUCCAUAAAGAUGUGUAGCAAGAAAAGCAGUGCAGUGGGGGGAAUGUCAGGUUUAUUGUGCAGUGACCAAGAAGAUGAGACCAGCAAGUGGUUUGUUGCCCUCCUGGAGCUCAAGCUUCCAUCUUCUAACUAAUACUUUUUAGUCCUUACAUCAGUAAUAAAAAAGGGAGAGACACAAAGUGUUUUUUUGCUGCUGCUUCCAGAUGUCUCCUUGCAAAGGCAAGGACUCGGCCACUGCCCUUAGCCAGCAUCAGCUCCCAGCACCGCCAGGUGACUUUCACUAACAAGUAACUUUGUGUGAGCUAAGCCAUGGCAACUGAUGAGCCGUAGCUGUUUGCUAAGCAAAUAGCAGCUUUGAUGCCAUUACGCUCCGUUUUCCCUAACAGAGACAGUCCUUAUUGCAGAUGUGAAGAGUUUUUGACUGGUCUAACUCCCCGGAGCAGCUCAGUGCAUGCAGCUCUGCUGCUAGGAGGGGGACUUGUCAUGGGGAUAGAGCAGCUCAGGCUUUGCGGAGGGAUGCUCUUGGGGCUGCACAUAAACCCUUCCCUUGAAUAAGUGGAUCUGAGGUGCUUAGUUACUCCUCAGAGAGCCGCUGGAAUCCCCUACAGUGCUGAGAGGGGCUUGGGAAGGGCUCCAGCCCCCGUGCAAAGCCACCACUGGAAGCAGAGAGGUGUGACAAAGCUGACUUGCAGACCAAAUCCAGCCUCAGAGUCUGCAGUUGUUUGCUGCAUGCCAUCACCGUCUGCUUAGAAAUGAUUGUACUGCUGUGAAAUGGCACCUUGGCACCCAGGGGGAAAAAAUGGUGAAGACAAGCCGAAGGAGGGCUCGGUGUGUGUGAGCAUGUCCCCACCUAGUGAUGGAGCCCCGAAAUGACGGUGAGCCAGAGCUCUGGCAUGCAGUUGUAACAGGUAAAACUGAGUAAAAUCGUGGCGGCUACACAGAAAACUUGUUCACACAAGGGCACAAUACACAUAACCACUAGGAGAUGGUAUCGACUCAUUCCUCAGACCCUGGGUUUGACUCCACCAGGACUGACAAAUCCCUCGAAAAAGCCAGUGCUUGCUGGAUAAAUGCAUUUUGCCCCUUCGCCCCAGCUCGUCAGUGAAUCUGCAGGAGCUACUAAAGCUGCUCUUCCCCGUUGUUCCCAGGCUCUGGCACAUCACUAGAAACAGCUGGAACAUCAACAAGUCUUGAAGUCACCAUCUUGAGUUUAUGCCACUCACCUCUUUUGGGGUCCUUUCUCUCACCCUCACCAAAACUGAGUACUUUUGCCAUAGGACUUUCUCCUAACUCAACAACUCAGAAGUCGAAAUCAACACAAAAACAGUCCCCCAUGUCCUACAUUUGCUGUUGUUUUCAAAUUGGAAGAAUCUGGCUUGGUUUUCCUAAGUGCUGCAUGUGAUCAGGGAUGUCACAUUUUCUUGUAAAAAAUGUCCUCAUACAUUGAAAUAUAAACAGCCCAUGGGAAAGAAAUUCAGUUUAUAUUUAAUUUCUUCCACUGUUCAAGGCAAAAAAAAAAAAAAAAAAAAAAAAAAAAAAGUAUACUUAUGUGCUGAGAAGUGCUCUGCUCGCUCAGGGGAAACCAGUCAUCAGUACUGACUUACCAGCUUUUUAAUGACAGGCUGUAGGGAUGCCAGAAAUUAUGGCAUUCAAUCAUCACAAAAGAUCACGGCGAAAAAUAGAGGGGACCGGGAGUCCCGGUGGGAAGCGCCACCAGCGCUGGUUCUAGCUAAUCAGCAGUGAGGCUUCGGGGUGCCAUUAAACUGCUCGAUUCUGGUGGUUUUAAAGGCAGAUUUCAGGCAGCCUUGAGGAGAUGCUGACUGUGACCUGCUGCUAGUGCUGUCGGGGUGGUGAGUUGUCAUCCUUGGUCCAAAGUCUCCGGGCAGUGUAAGCCAGGAGGUCGCUAUCUCCAUCUCCUGGGAUGUCUGGGAGCUGCAGAGCUCUGUGCAGGGAGGACUUUGUAAAACGCUUCUGCCUGUUGUUACGCACAAAAUCAGACAAGGCACUUUCUUCUCACGCACAUCACUACAGAGGUUUUAGUGUGUGUGACUGUCACAGUAAGAGAGCGGCCUGAAGCCUGCCACUGCGGCUAUUUCAGUUCCUCAGUUUCUUCCUCAAAGACUGUCUUGGGGAAGCGAGCAUUAUUUGCUGGUCUCCAUGGCAGUUUACUUGGCCAAUGCCCAAGCGACAAAGCAGAAAAAUGAGAAAAU